rnacentral:rRNA from 1 species
UACAGAGGUGCCAAGCGUUGUUCGGAUUUACUGGGCGUAAAGGGUGCGUAGGUGGUUUGGUAAGUCAAAUGUGAAAUCCUGCAGCUCAACUGCAGAACUGCAUUCGAAACUGCCAAGCUGGAGUACUGGAGAGGAGAUCGGAAUUCUCGGUGUAGCAGUGAAAUGCGUAGAUAUCGAGAGGAACACCAGUGGCGAAGGCGGAUCUCUGGACAGUUACUGACACUGAGGCACGAAAGCCAGGGGAGCAAACGGG